GUGGGAUUUGCUUUUUUUUUUGGUCUAUAAUAAACUUUUUUUAUUCUUAAUUCUUCAAUCAAUUGCUUCUUUAAGUUUCUGUUUUCUAUUUUCUACAACUGCUUUACAGAUCGUUGUUGCUAUGGGAUUGUUUGAGACUUUCUGAAAUCAUUAGUAUUGGUCAUAGACUCAGAAUCCUUUCUCCACCGAAGACCCCUUUGGACAGUUCGGUUUUUGGAGGUUGGUUCCAGUUAUCGGUUAAACUUAACCGAACAAAGUAGAAUACUUGCAGCUGUUAAUCGUCAAAAUUUGGCAAAACUCGUUUUAUGUACUCGGGUGGUGAAGUAGAGGACCAUACCUACUGACUUACCUCCCAAGAACGACCAUAAUAAGUUUGUACUUUUUUUUCCCAACCAUAUGUUAUGGAUCGGAACCCUUUUUGCUAAGUGCUAAGAGUUGAAAUAAAAGAAUAAUUGUACCAAACACUAUUAGCACUCAUCAAAUAUACAAGCUAUGAGUUAAGACUUA